AAGAAAAUGAAUGCAUUGGUAUCCCUGCUGUCAUGGUUGAUUUUCUCUGCCAACUUGACUGGGUCGUGGGGUGCCCAGACAUUUGGGUGCCCAGAUAUUUGGUCAAGUGUUAUUCUGGAUAUGUCUGUGAGGUCGUUUCUGGGUGAGACUAACACUUGAAUCAGUAGAUUGAGUGAAGCAGAUGCCCUCCCUAAUGUGGAUGGGCCUCAUCCAAUCAACUGGAACAGAACACAAAGGGAGUAAGGGAGAAUUCACUCUCUCUGCUUGACUGCUUUCCAGCUGGGACAUCGGUCUUCCUCUACCUUUGGACUCAAAUGGAAACAUCGGCUUUUCCUGGGUCUUGAGUUUAUUGGCCUUUGGGCAUAAAUAUACCAGCAGCUCUGCUGACUCCCAGGCCUUCGGACUCAAACUGGAAAUACACCAUUGCUCUCCUGAUCUCCAGCCUGUUGAUGCAGAAAUUGGGACUUAUCAGCUUCGAUGGUGUCAGAAGUGGGAUCUGAAGAAGAGCUUCUAAUGACCCCCAGGAGCACUGAGUGAACAUGCAAGGUAACUGCAGGACCCACUUGUAUCCACUAAUCUCUCGGAGCGGCUGGAGAUAGUGGCCACUGCCAUCAUCCUUCUUCUCUGAUCCAAGGGUAAUGAAGAAGGAAGAGUUAUUAUUGCAAAGAAGAUAAACAAACAACACUGGAAAAAACCUUUCUUCAGGGGAAGAACUUCUGAACUGAUUUGUUGUUUGUGCACUUGUUUGUUUCACACAACAUCGCAUGAAUAAAAUUAGCAGUGGAAAAGCAGCUUGUAAUAUGUCCUGAUGUUACAAGGGUCAUGCCAGGGUUCCCA
rnacentral:lncRNA from 10 species